CCGUUCAGAGGUAAACGGGUGUAGUCAAGCUGCAAGCCCUGGGAAAUUGGCGGAUCAGAAUGGCGUGGAGCCUUGGGCAUUUAGAGUUGGUGAUGAGUCUGUCUAGUAAGGCAGGUUCGGCUCGCAAGGGUCGGAUGUGUGAAGUGUCUUUUGAUGCUGCAUGCUCGUUAUCGGCUGCUCUGCUGGUCCGUUGACUUUCUCAGGGCGUAUGUCACGACCGUCGUUGCUGUCGGAGUGCUUCGUCUUAACCGUAGCGUAAGUAGCCUUGUGUUUCUUGCGUUGCGGAGGCAGGUAGCUGGUCUGGUUUCGGCUGGGCUGGUGUAAUCGCUGGGCGAAGUGGUAUCUGUGCAGUGCGGCGGGGCUGGCGGUGCGUGGUACUGGGUGUGCUAAAGUGCGUCGGCAUGGCGUGGGUCUGGCUGCAUGUUGCUACUUCGGUGGCCUUGUAGUGGCUCUGCUGUGGUUUGAUGUGCGGCGGCAUCUGGUCACCUUCGCGUUGUGCCNAUAGUCUGUGGCGUAGU
rnacentral:rRNA from 1 species